GGGGAACUGAAACAUCUAAGUACCCCGAGGAAAAGAAAUCAACCGAGAUUCCCCCAGUAGCGGCGAGCGAACGGGGAGGAGCCCAGAGCCUGAAUCAGUGUGUGUGUUAGUGGAAGCGUCUGGAAAGGCGCGCGAUACAGGGUGACAGCCCCGUACACAAAAAUGCACAUACUGUGAGCUCGAUGAGUAGGGCGGGACACGUGGUAUCCUGUCUGAAUAUGGGGGGACCAUCCUCCAAGGCUAAAUACUCCUGACUGACCGAUAGUGAACCAGUACCGUGAGGGAAAGGCGAAAAGAACCCCGGCGAGGGGAGUGAAAAAGAACCUGAAACCGUGUACGUACAAGCAGUGGGAGCCUCUUAAUGGGGUGACUGCGUACCUUUUGUAUAAUGGGUCAGCGACUUAUAUUCUGUAGCAAGGUUAACCGAAUAGGGGAGCCGAAGGGAAACCGAGUCUUAACUGGGCGUUAAGUUGCAGGGUAUAGACCCGAAACCCGGUGAUCUAGCCAUGGGCAGGUUGAAGGUUGGGUAACACUAACUGGAGGACCGAACCGACUAAUGUUGAAAAAUUAGCGGAUGACUUGUGGCUGGGGGUGAAAGGCCAAUCAAACCGGGAGAUAGCUGGUUCUCCCCGAAAGCUAUUUAGGUAGCGCCUCGUGAAUUCAUCUCCGGGGGUAGAGCACUGUUUCGGCAAGGGGGUCAUCCCGACUUACCAACCCGAUGCAAACUGCGAAUACCGGAGAAUGUUAUCACGGGAGACACACGGCGGGUGCUAACGUCCGUCGUGAAGAGGGAAACAACCCAGACCGCCAGCUAAGGUCCCAAAGUCAUGGUUAAGUGGGAAACGAUGUGGGAAGGCCCAGACAGCCAGGAUGUUGGCUUAGAAGCAGCCAUCAUUUAAAGAAAGCGUAAUAGCUCACUGGUCGAGUCGGCCUGCGCGGAAGAUGUAACGGGGCUAAACCAUGCACCGAAGCUGCGGCAGCGACACUAUGUGUUGUUGGGUAGGGGAGCGUUCUGUAAGCCUGUGAAGGUGUACUGUGAGGUAUGCUGGAGGUAUCAGAAGUGCGAAUGCUGACAUAAGUAACGAUAAAGCGGGUGAAAAGCCCGCUCGCCGGAAGACCAAGGGUUCCUGUCCAACGUUAAUCGGGGCAGGGUGAGUCGACCCCUAAGGCGAGGCCGAAAGGCGUAGUCGAUGGGAAACAGGUUAAUAUUCCUGUACUUGGUGUUACUGCGAAGGGGGGACGGAGAAGGCUAUGUUGGCCGGGCGACGGUUGUCCCGGUUUAAGCGUGUAGGCUGGUUUUCCAGGCAAAUCCGGAAAAUCAAGGCUGAGGCGUGAUGACGAGGCACUACGGUGCUGAAGCGACAAAUGCCCUGCUUCCAGGAAAAGCCUCUAAGCAUCAGGUAACAUCAAAUCGUACCCCAAACCGACACAGGUGGUCAGGUAGAGAAUACCAAGGCGCUUGAGAGAACUCGGGUGAAGGAACUAGGCAAAAUGGUGCCGUAACUUCGGGAGAAGGCACGCUGAUAUGUAGGUGAAGCGACUUGCUCGUGGAGCUGAAAUCAGUCGAAGAUACCAGCUGGCUGCAACUGUUUAUUAAAAACACAGCACUGUGCAAACACGAAAGUGGACGUAUACGGUGUGACGCCUGCCCGGUGCCGGAAGGUUAAUUGAUGGGGUUAGCGGUAACGCGAAGCUCUUGAUCGAAGCCCCGGUAAACGGCGGCCGUAACUAUAACGGUCCUAAGGUAGCGAAAUUCCUUGUCGGGUAAGUUCCGACCUGCACGAAUGGCGUAAUGAUGGCCAGGCUGUCUCCACCCGAGACUCAGUGAAAUUGAACUCGCUGUGAAGAUGCAGUGUACCCGCGGCAAGACGGAAAGACCCCGUGAACCUUUACUAUAGCUUGACACUGAACAUUGAGCCUUGAUGUGUAGGAUAGGUGGGAGGCUUUGAAGUGUGGACGCCAGUCUGCAUGGAGCCGACCUUGAAAUACCACCCUUUAAUGUUUGAUGUUCUAACGUGGGCCCCUUACCGGGGUUGCGGACAGUGUCUGGUGGGUAGUUUGACUGGGGCGGUCUCCUCCUAAAGAGUAACGGAGGAGCACGAAGGUUGGCUAAUCCUGGUCGGACAUCAGGAGGUUAGUGCAAUGGCAUAAGCCAGCUUGACUGCGAGCGUGACGGCGCGAGCAGGUGCGAAAGCAGGUCAUAGUGAUCCGGUGGUUCUGAAUGGAAGGGCCAUCGCUCAACGGAUAAAAGGUACUCCGGGGAUAACAGGCUGAUACCGCCCAAGAGUUCAUAUCGACGGCGGUGUUUGGCACCUCGAUGUCGGCUCAUCACAUCCUGGGGCUGAAGUAGGUCCCAAGGGUAUGGCUGUUCGCCAUUUAAAGUGGUACGCGAGCUGGGUUUAGAACGUCGUGAGACAGUUCGGUCCCUAUCUGCCGUGGGCGCUGGAGAACUGAGGGGGGCUGCUCCUAGUACGAGAGGACCGGAGUGGACGCAUCACUGGUGUUCGGGUUGUCAUGCCAAUGGCACUGCCCGGUAGCUAAAUGCGGAAGAGAUAAGUGCUGAAAGCAUCUAAGCACGAAACUUGCCCCGAGAUGAGUUCUCCCUGACUCCUUGAGAGUCCUGAAGGAACGUUGAAGACGACGACGUUGAUAGGCCGGGUGUGUAAGCGCAGCGAUGCGUUGAGCUAACCGGUACUAAUGAACCGUGAGGCUUAACCUUACAACGCCGAAG
rnacentral:rRNA from 1 species